rnacentral:lncRNA from 1 species
UGGUGCGAAAACCACGAAAAAUGCUUAUUUGGGUCCCUUUUUGGCCCCUAAUUCCUAAACUGUUGGGACCUAAACUCCCAAAAUCAAUACCAACCUUCCUUUUGUAGUCAUUAACAUUGUGUUUAAAUUUCAUUGAUUUCUAUUUACUUAAACUAAAGUUAUUGUGCGAAAACCAAGAAUAAUGCUUAUUUGGGCCCUUUUUGGCCCCUAAUUCCUAAACUGUUGAAACC